UUUUAUAUUUUUCAGACAAUUUCCUAUGCUGUUGAUCCUCAAGUAACACGGUUGUACAAUUAUUAUGCAAGUUGUAUCAAAGAAUUUAAUGUACAGGAAUGGACACCGGAAGUAUGUAAAUGUGUAAUGGAAAAGGACAAAGUGAUCGACGAACAAGGUUUAAUCAACAAAGAAAAACUUUAUGCUAAUCUUGAUAAACUCAUUUCCGAUCCGGCCAAGUUGAAGGAAGCAAAAGACAUCACCACCACAUGUCUUCCGCAAGCCCAAUCAGGAAGCAAUGAUGAAAAGACUAUGUCGCUUAUACGGUGCGCAGUACAUGUAACAAAGCUAUUUGAUAAGCCUGAAUAAAGGAAGAAAGUACAUUUUUUC